rnacentral:rRNA from 1 species
ACUCUCGACAACGGAUAUCUCGGCUCUCGCAUCGAUGAAGAACGUAGCGAAAUGCGAUACUUGGUGUGAAUUGCAGAAUCCCGUGAACCAUCGAGUCUUUGAACGCAAGUUGCGCCCGAAGCCAUUAGGCUGAGGGCACGUCUGCCUGGGUGUCACGC